AAGUAAUGAAGUAAAAAUUACAUUUAGUUUCGACCUAAUCUUAGAGAGUAUCUCCUUGCUUA
rnacentral:tRNA from 1 species